rnacentral:tmRNA from 1 species
CGGACGUCUAAAGGGGUUAGCUUUGGCUCGGUGAGAUACCACCGUUAUCGGUUCAUUUAAGCUAGUUGCAAAUGACAACAAAGCUCCAAUGGCUCUGGCUGCGUAAGCAGUCCGAAACAUUGAAACCUUAAGCCCUGUCGCCUUGCAGCGUCAGGCGGGGUCCGCAGGUACCUGGCAACAGAAACCUGCACC